UACGUAGGGUGCGAGCGUUGUCCGGAAUUAUUGGGCGUAAAGAGCUCGUAGGCGGUCUGUCGCGUCGAUCGUGAAAACUUGGGGCUUAACCCUGAGCUUGCGGUCGAUACGGGCAUGACUGGAGUUCGGCAGGGGAGACUGGAAUUCCUGGUGUAGCGGUGAAAUGCGCAGAUAUCAGGAGGAACACCGGUGGCGAAGGCGGGUCUCUGGGCCGAUAUCGACGCUGAGGAGCGAAAGCGUGGGGAGCGAACAGG
rnacentral:rRNA from 1 species